rnacentral:lncRNA from 1 species
CCGAGGGAAGUUCCAUUAGCUUUAGCUUGGAUCUUCACCCUGACUUAGUAGGAGGCUAACACAUCAUACACGGUGACGUCAGGUACGUUCACUUGGAAAUGUACAGAUGUGUAUGCUGUUGGUUUUGGACCCCAGUGUUUCACUUUCCUUGUUGUUUAUGAGCCAUUGAUAGCGUGGAUUUGAUGACUUCUGGGCUUAGAGUGUUUUUCUCAGGGUCAGUAGACCUGAAUAUGAUCCAUCUGAUGCAGAGUCAGUCAGUUUAGUUCAGAGUUUAUACAGAGUAGGCGAUGCGAUCCAGCUGACCUUAUGGUUCUAGGGGUGACUGAUGAUGUCAACCUAGGGCGGAUUGGCUAGCUACUCAUAGUACUACCUGUGUCCGCAGAGACAAGGUAGGAGAGUUUAGAGCUCAGGAUGGAUCAAUAGUUAGUCCUUAGAAAGGACAGAGUACAG